rfam:Salmo salar isolate Sally breed double haploid chromosome ssa01, whole genome shotgun sequence.
UGCACUCAUGACUGUAAGUCGCUCUGUAUAAGAGCGUCUGCUAAAGUUAUUUAU